UGGGGAAUUUUGGACAAUGGACGCAAGUCUGAUCCAGCCAUGCCGCGUGCGGGAAGAAGGCCUUCGGGUUGUAAACCGCUUUUGUCAGGGAAGAAACGAGUUUCUCUAAUACAGAGACUUAAUGACGGUACCUGAAGAAUAAGCACCGGCUAACUACGUGCCAGCAGCCGCGGUAAUACGUAGGGUGCGAGCGUUAAUCGGAAUUACUGGGCGUAAAGCGUGCGCAGGCGGUUAUAUAAGACAGAUGUGAAAUCCCCGGGCUCAACCUGGGAACUGCCUUUGUGACUGCAUAGCUAGAGUACGGUAGAGGGGGAUGGAAUUCCGCGUGUAGCAGUGAAAUACGUAGAUAUGCGGAGGAACACCGAUGGCGAAGGCAAUCCCCUGGACCUGUACUGACGCUCAUGCACGAAAGCGUGGGGAGCAAACA
rnacentral:rRNA from 1 species